AGAGUUUGAUCAUGGCUCAGAACGAACGCUGGCGGCAGGCUUAACACAUGCAAGUCGAGCGCUCCGCAAGGGGAGCGGCGGACGGGUGAGUAACGCGUGGGAACGUGCCCAAAGGUACGGAACAACCGCUGGAAACGGCGGCUAAUGCCGUAUGUGCCCUACGGGGGAAAGAUUUAUCGCCUUUGGAUUGGCCCGCGUCGGAUUAGGUAGUUGGUGGGGUAACGGCCCACCAAGCCGACGAUCCGUAGCUGGUUUGAGAGGAUGAUCAGCCACACUGGGACUGAGACACGGCCCAGACUCCUACGGGAGGCAGCAGUGGGGAAUCUUGGACAAUGGGGGCAACCCUGAUCCAGCCAUGCCGCGUGAGCGAUGAAGGCCCUAGGGUUGUAAAGCUCUUUCACCCGCGAAGAUAAUGACGGUAGCGGGAGAAGAAGCCCCGGCUAACUCCGUGCCAGCCGCCGCGGUAAUAC
rnacentral:rRNA from 1 species